UACGAAGGGGGCUAGCGUUGCUCGGAAUCACUGGGCGUAAAGGGUGCGUAGGCGGGUCUUUUAAGUCAGGGGUGAAAUCCUGGAGCUCAACUCCAGAACUGCCUUUGAUACUGAGGAUCUUGAGUUCGGGAGAGGUGAGUGGAACUGCGAGUGUAGAGGUGAAAUUCGUAGAUAUUCGCAAGAACACCAGUGGCGAAGGCGGCUCACUGGCCCGAUACUGACGCUGAGACGCGAAAGCGUGGGGAGCAAACAGG
rnacentral:rRNA from 1 species